AGAUUCCCUCAGUAGCGGCGAGCGAACGGGGAAAAGCCCAUUAAGUCAUAUAAGUUCUAGUGGAAUGCUCUGGGAAGUGCAACCAUAGUGGGUGAUAGUCCUGUACACGAAAGGGCUUAUAUGAUGAUGUCGAGUAGGGCGGGGCACGUGAAACCUUGUCUGAAUAUGGGGGGACCAUCCUCCAAGGCUAAAUACUCCUGACUGACCGAUAGUGAACCAGUACCGUGAGGGAAAGGCGAAAAGAACCCCUGUGAGGGGAGUGAAAUAGAACCUGAAACCGUGUACGUACAAGCAGUGGGAGCCCACUUUGUUGGGUGACUGCGUACCUUUUGUAUAAUGGGUCAGCGACUUACAUUCUGUAGCGAGGUUAACCGAAUAGGGGAGCCGUAGGGAAACCGAGUCUUAACUGGGCGUCUAGUUGCAAGGUGUAGACCCGAAACCGGGUGAUCUAUCCAUGAGCAGGUUGAAGGUUGGGUAACACUAACUGGAGGACCGAACCCACUGUCGUUGAAAAGCCAGGGGAUGACUUGUGGAUAGGGGUGAAAGGCUAAUCAAACUCGGUGAUAGCUGGUUCUCCCCGAAAGCUAUUUAGGUAGCGCCUCGGACGAAUACCAUUGGGGGUAGAGCACUGUUAAGGCUAGGGGGUCAUCCCGACUUACCAAACCGAUGCAAACUCCGAAUACCAAUGAGUACUACUCGGGAGACACACGACGGGUGCUAACGUCCGCCGUGAAAAGGGAAACAACCCAGACCACCAGCUAAGGUCCCAAAGUCAUGGUUAAGUGGGAAACGAUGUGGGAAGGCUUAGACAGCUAGGAGGUUGGCUUAGAAGCAGCCACCCUUUAAAGAAAGCGUAAUAGCUCACUAGUCGAGUCGGCCUGCGCGGAAGAUGUAACGGGGCUAAAACUAUAUGCCGAAGCUGCGGAUUUGCAAUUUAUUGCAAGUGGUAGGGGAGCGUUCUGUAAGCCGAUGAAGGUGUAUUGAGAAGUAUGCUGGAGGUAUCAGAAGUGCGAAUGCUGACGUGAGUAACGACAAUGCGAGUGAAAAACUCGCACGCUGAAAGACCAAGGGUUCCAGUCCAACGUUAAUCGGGGCUGGGUGAGUCGACCCCUAAGGCGAGGCCGAGAGGCGUAGUCGAUGGGAAAUUGGUUAAUAUUCCAAUACUUCUAUGUAAUGCGAUGAGAGGACGGAGAAGGUUAAGUCAGCCUGGCGUUGGUUGUCCAGGUGGAAGGUUGUAGGCAUGUAUCUUAGGCAAAUCCGGGGUACUCUAUGCUGAGAACUGAUAGCAAGCUGUACUUGUACAGUGAAGUGGCUGAUACCAUGCUUCCAGGAAAA
rnacentral:rRNA from 1 species